rnacentral:lncRNA from 1 species
GGGGGCCAAAUGGGAGUAUAUUAAUGUAUAGCGAGGAACAAGAAAAUGUAUAAACGAACAUAUUCCUUCAAAAAUUCAAUAGUGCAAAACUGUAUAUAGUUGAUAUUGUCUUUUGGUGUCCUUUACUUUCAAAGAACCCCCUUCCCCCCCUAAUAUGUAGAUCUUCAAGUGCUGCGUCCAAUUCGAUAAUCACACCAUCACCAUUCACGAUCUUCUCUUAUUCCAUUGGGUCUCCACUAAAAAACCUAUAAAAGCAUGAGAUAUACAAACACUACGAUGGAAAUGAAUGAAAAUCCAGAACAACCAGGACAAUGACAGGGAUGAGUUAAGAAAAAAAUCAUAUAUAAUACCACAAAAUUUAGCAAUUGUGUAUUCUUAACUUUUUGAUUCAUUAUUUAACAUCAAUAACAGCUGCACCAGAUUUCUCAAACUAACUAAUUUUGCUACCUAAAAACAAAAGUCCAACCAGGGGGAAGACUAAAAUUUUUAAAUACUACCUAUCUUGGAAAUGAUAUGGAUGAUAGCAUCUUGUGUUGGGGUAAUUGAUAGUUUAUAUUGCCAGAAAUGGAUGCAGAUAACAAAAACACCUAUUGGAUCGAACAUUUGUACCUAGAAAUCAAUAGUUUCUUAAAUUAAUUAUAAAGGAGCUACAAAAUGAUGACAAAGUUUUAGUCAAUUGAGGUCGGACAUCAUUCAAAUUGUUUGAAGUCGUAAUAUGCAAGAACACUAGCAUUGUCAUGGCAUUAUAUCAGCAACACCUACACUUACCAUCAAUUCAGCAUAAAACCUUUAAAAUCUCCAUUCAUCAGAUUUCAAACAUCAAAAUGAUGGUAAUAAAAUAUGCCAAGGAAGCUUCAACAAGUACAUCACGUCUGUUAGAGCAAAAAUAAAGUACCAGGGAAAAAAAAGAAAAGAAAAAAGGCAUAAACUUAUGAGCUAAAAGUAUCUUGAAAAUUCAUUCCACCAAAUCUACCAGUACCACCACCAUUGGCAGCGUGCUGCUUAAGUCCCUUUUCACUGUACCUAUCAUAUAUACUCCUCUUCUCACCAUCCAAUAACACUUCAUAUGCUAUUAAAACCCGACAAAUCAAAAUUGCUUGCAAUUAUCUUACUCAUCACAAAUCCUAACUCAAUAUAAAAACAAAAGUAAGCCAUAUGCCCUAUGUUCAAAAGCUAGCUAUGACAUUUCUUCAACACUAUUAUGCAACCAUAUCUACAUCAUAUCCACAAUCAAUGCCAUUAAAAGGGAAAAAAAAAUCUCCAAAGAACUCUAGCUGACUAAGUCAAUUAUUAUUUUAUUUUAUUUUAUUUUUUAAAAGGAAAGAAAGAAAGAGUCAACAUGAGAAUAAUGAAUUAUAUGAAUGAAAUAUGCCGCAUUACGUGUAAUGGCCCUUUUAUUUACUGUGAUCUUAUUCACAUAAUGUUAGAAUUAUGUUGGCUGAUCAAAUUAAGUGGAAUGCAUUCUCAAAGCAUUCUGUGUUAAAAUAAUCUACAAAAGACAGCCAAGAGUCGUAGAGAUCAAAUCAUUGGGAAAAAAAUACCAAAAGAACCCAAGGUUUCUUAUUCUAUAAUCUGCUUAAAUUUUAUCCUAUAGAGAGAUCAAUUCUGAGACCAUACAAAUUUACCAGCAUAAACUCCUCCAAUUUUGCUAACUUCUAUUCAAACUCCAAUCCCACUUGCAAAAUAUCCUUCUAUAACAUAUGCCAGCUGUUUUUUACUUCAAUGAAGCAAUAAGUCAUCAAUAUCACCAACUUUUCAUUCAUCUAAUUAUUACAAAUUAUCCUACUCAGGUAGCAAUUAAAAAAAAACCUUACUACCAUUAGCUAAAUGAAGAAUUAAUAGCAUAAGCAGCAGAACUGAAUUAUAAUAGUAGAUAGGAUAAAUAAACAACAAAGUAACAUCUUACAUUUCCUAAAGAGGUGUUGACAUACACAAGAAAACAAUAGCAAGUAAUUUAUAAAAUGAUGACAGUAGGCAGAUAUUAAGGGGAAGAAAGAAAGACUGAAAAUCCAAAAUCCAAAAUCCAAAAAGUUAAAGUAAGAUGUAUAUUUAAAACUCAUCCCUCAACCCCAGAGCAUCACAGUAAGCAACAUUGAAUAUGAGUAGAUAGAAAUUAAGGAAAACAAAGAAAGACUGGAAAUGCAAAAUCUAAAAAUGGAGAAGUAAAAUGUAUUUUAAAAACUCGUCCUCAACCCCAGAGCAUAACAGUAAGCAACAUUGAUUAUAGUGAUAUUAUUAACGAAAUCAGUUGAACUUAAAGCACUGUGAGAGCUUACCAAGCCAGAUACCAUCUCAUGAAUUAAAUUAAUGUCAUAACCAAUAUGAUUAAGAUUAGAUCUAACUUUGCUUACCUGCAUAUUAUUAGUAAUAGUAUCAAUCAAAUAGAAUACAUUUGCUUUGAUGCAAGUUGUGUAGUAACUGUUAUUUUCAUCUAUUGAACUUCCACACUAAGAAACCCCAAAGUUCAGCAAACAUAUGAACACAGAUGAGCAUCAUAGGUUUGUAACUCAAUCUAUGCUCACACCCAAUUCAUUAUUACGCAUGAAAGUCAUCUAACAAACGACAAAGAGAAAGUUAAUGAAUCUUUUGAAUUGUCAAGACUUUUGAUCUUCUUUCACUUCAGAGAAAUUUGCCCAAUAUUUGAGAAGUAAUGAGAUUGAAUAUUAAAAUCAUGUCAUGCACAAAGCUUAUAAAAUGUUUUGAGGUUUAAUUGAUGUAGUGCACCUAAUGAUAUUUUCCACAUUUACCCAUUUUCUUCUUUUUGUUUCUGUAGUGUUUUCUUUUAAAUAUUCUUUAGUUUUUUCCUUUUGGUUCAGGGAAGAGGCAUCAAUGAAAACUCUAAAAUGUUUCUCUCAUUGUAGUCAAUGCUCAAAGAAUCUUAAUGAUAUCUUCAUAUUAUUAAAUAUGAAUGUGAUAGUUUUUUAUUUCAUCCAAGCAGAAGUUAACCAUUGAAAACUCUAAGACAUUUCUCUUAUUGUAGUCAAUGCUCAAACAAUCUCAAUGACAUCUUCAUAUUAUUAAAUAUGAAUGUUAUAGUUUUUAUUUCACCAAGCGGAAUUUCUCUCAUUGUAGUCAAUGCUCAAAGAAUCUUAAUGUUACAUUCAUAUUAUUAAAUUUCAUCAAAGCAGAAGUUAAUCUUUGAAUCUGAAGAAACCAUAAAUGUAUGAACCAUACGAUUUAAAAAGCCAUUGUAGCAUGUGUAAUUGCAAAAGUAAAAUUAUCAUGACAAAAACAAGAUAUGUAAUACAUCAUUUACAAUAAGCUUUGGUGCUUGCCUCUGCUCAUCCACCAUUCAAUCCAAAUCUCCAAUCUCUUUGUCAAAUGCCUAUUGUUGACUGCAGGGAAAGUGAAAUGAGCACAUAAUACAUAUGAUUAAAAUGAAAGGUGACUAAAAUUAUCAAAAUUUAUUUAUAGUAUUUUACUUAUAGAAAAAGCGUCAGAAACAUGCUCUAAGUGCUACCAAACAGAUGCAAUAGGAUUUUCCAUAUUGUGCUUAGUAACAAACAUUACAUCAGAAAAUGACCAGCCCUGCGGAGUGAGCAACAUAUAAGUUAUUUUCCCAAAAAAAAAAAAAAAAAAAAAAAAAAAAAAAUACAGGAAAAAGAUAAAGAAAAAUAAAUCAAAGACAGUGGAUUAGUAAACCCCAUUUCGACACAAAGUGAAUUUGUAGAGAGAGAGAGUCAAAACUCAAGAAUAUUCAAAAGCAAAGAAUCAUGUGUAGAUAUGUUGUAUAAUAACAACUAUUAACAGCCACUGGUGAAUGUCAAAUAGACAGCUUGAGAUGCAUAAACUAGUUCAAUUAUUUUGAGCUAAGAACUUCAUAUUAAGAAAGUUCCCAUCAAAUACAACUAUUUAGAGGCAUGUCUUAAUGAAGACGGUAAAAGAGCUGAACUUUCAUAAGCAAGAAAUCAUGUGUGAAAGAACUGAAUCCAUGAAAUUCACAAGUUAAAGUUUCAUUUCAGAAUAAGAAAAUCUUGCAAAUCUGAAACCAUACAGUAAAAUUGAACCACCAUACCUUCAAUUCAUGGCAGAAAUCUAUAUUUACUUACCACAGAACCUUGUUUCAAUAAUUCUUUGGAUAGAUCUAUGAAAACUUCAAACCUCUGCAAAAAUAAUAAGAAAAUAAAAAAUAGAGGAUUAGAACUUUUAGGAUGGUCAGCACCAAAAAGUGGAGAAAUUACACAACAGAGGCAAUAUCAUGGUUAAAAGGAUUAGAAAAGAGAAGAAGAAAUGAGAUGAAAGAAGGAACUCAAGGAAGAACCCUGCUUUCAGCACCAAAAAGCAAUAAUGCCAUCAGGGCCGAAUCCAAGAUCGAAGUCCAGCUAGGGCAGGGGUUGACUGUUGACCGUUG